UACGGAGGGUGCGAGCGUUGUCCGGAAUCACUGGGCGUAAAGGGCGCGUAGGCGGCCUGGCAAGUCGAUGGUGAAAGCCCGAGGCUCAACUUCGGGUCGGCCACUGAUACUGCUGGGCUUGAGUCGACUAGAGGCAGAUGGAAUUCCGGGUGUAGCGGUGGAAUGCGUAGAGAUCCGGAAGAACACCGGUGGCGAAGGCGGUCUGCUGGGCCAAGACUGACGCUGAGGCGCGACAGCGUGGGGAGCAAACAGG
rnacentral:rRNA from 1 species